GUCCCCUUGCUUUUGUUGUUGUUCUCUUUGGUUAAGAGCACAUAGCAUGAGAUCUACCUUCUUAACAAGUUUUUAAGUGAACAGCACCCUGUUGUUAACUAUGUUACUACUGUUAACUAACAGUUUUCGUGUAAGUGGAAUCAUGCAGCAUUUGUUCUUCUGUGAAUGACUUAUUUCCAGGCAUAAUGUUUUCCAUGGUGAUACGAUGUCUCCUGUUCAUCACACCAAACCUCAUGAAAGACCCAAACUGGGCUGGUCUUCAGUGUCUUCCCUGAGGAUAGUCAUCGUGAGGGGACCACAGCAGGCCAUCAAAAUAAAAACUAUUCAAGAAGUCAGCUGCUGCUGUAAAGGUCAUCUGGAAAGUCCAGGGAAGGGCCCUGAGCUGCUGCUGGGAAAGGGAAAUUGUCCUCUGGCCCGUGAUCUGGCAUGUUUGUCUGCUGAGUGGCUUCAGUGGUUUCAUCUAUUGCUGAAAGAGCCAAGAGAAAGGAAUAAAACAGGACUAUAAUCCACACCACAAUGAGCAGGAUGAGAAGAGCAGCCAAGUGAGUGUUUUGUUUAUGUGCUGCCCCUUCUGGCACACCGAACUGCUGCACAGAUUUUAUGGG
rnacentral:lncRNA from 1 species